rnacentral:rRNA from 1 species
AGCAGCCGCGGUAAUUCCAGCUCCAAUAGCGUAUAUUAAAGUUGUUGCAGUUAAAAAGCCCGUAGUUGAAUUUCGGGGUUCUACCGUUGGUCGGGCUUUGUCUGUACUGGCGUGUAGAAUUUCUACCUUCUGGGGAACCAUCAUGUUAUUAAUUUAACGUGGUGGGAAACCAGGACCUUUACCUUGAAAAAAUUAGAGUGUUCAAAGCAGGCUUAUGUCUGAAUACAUUAGCAUGGAAUAAUAGAAUAGGACGGUGGUCCUGUUUUGUUGGUUUCUGAAUCACCGUAAUGAUUAAUAGGGAUAGUUGGGGGCAUUAGUAUUCAAUUGUCAGAGGUGAAAUUCUUGGAUUUAU